AUGAACACCAAGAAGUUCAGGCUGCCCGGCCACCUCGUCGGCCCGGCAGCGCUCUCCGAUCCUUCGUCGCCGCAGCAGCUAUCGUCGUCGCUCCAUCAGGAGGAACCCGAGAAUUCUGCUACUAGUAGUCAGCAGCACUGCGCGGGUUGCAGGCUGCACGAGGACUACACGCCGUGGUCGGCUCUCGCGCAGAGCUGCCUCGGCACCGACAACGCCGCGUUCGACUGCGCCGAGAGCCUGUUCGACUACCCUCUCGGAAUGCUCCUGAUGCCGAUAGCCAGGACGCCCUAUCAGUAUCAGUCGUCGGAGAACGACCGCUGCCGGACACGGCCGCAGCGGGAUGCAAUGGAGACAACCCCUACACAGCCCCACAAGCUGCCCCUGCCGCAGCAGCAGAGGGAUCAUGGGCUGUUCAGCUUCAGCAACGCUUCCACCACUUGGUCUCGUGGUGGCGAACCAAAGACGCACUCGUUCUCUCCUCUUGUGCCGCUGCCGGGAAACUGCAUGGACGCGCCUGUGACCCCCGUCGGCGACGGCGCCGCCAGGGCGCCAGCAGCUGAAUCCAGCACCGCGCCGAGGAAGACGCGGAUCCGAUGGACGCAGGACCUGCACGAGCGGUUCGUCGAGUGCGUGAACCAGCUCGGUGGCGCCGAUAGGACAACACCUAGAGCGAUCCAGAAGAUGAUGAAUUCAGAUGUCAUUACAAUCUUCCAUAUCAAGAGCCAUCUACAGAAAUAUCGUAUGGCGAAGUACAUGCUAGGGUCGUCAUCCGAAGGUAGAUAA
rnacentral:rRNA from 1 species